UAAGACAGGUAGAGUACUGCUGUUUUAGUCGCAUUAUGGACGUGUAUUACAGACAUGUAAACACCUUAAUCACAUUAUGAGCGUCGUGUGAGAGUUUUCACCGCAUUUUGCGACAGGACACGAUCACACACGGCAGUUUUACGUUUUACGGCGAACAAGAGAGUUCGACUGUGUCCCAAAUCGCAUACUUUCCUACUAUAGGCCUGUAGUGGGGAAAAAUACAUGUAUCUCGGCUACUAUAUAGACGGUAACUACGCGAUUUGGGACACACCCACCGCUUCAAGCAGUCGUCUAUUAGCACGUACAGCAUGACAAAUAAUUAACUGCACUUAAAGCGUUCGUAAAAAAAAUAAAUAAAUAAAUAAAAACACGCAAAACUGUAUACGGUACCAUAACGAAGACGAACUGUAUGUUGAUACGUGAAAUUCUGGAGGGACGUCGGACGGCGUGGCGCGGUGACGUCAUGUCGUGUCGGAGGGCUCUCAGGCUGAAAGUGAGAGGAGACAGCGAGGGCUGUGGAGGAUGUGGUGGGAGCCUGGGCCUCUCACAAAGUGUCAGCAUGUGGUCCUGGAUGCAGUUUACACCCCCACAACUCAUGACAAUGCUCCUGUGCACAAAGCAAGGUCAAUGAACACAUGGUUUGCCAAGGCUGGAAUCGGAAGAACUCAAGUGACCUGUACAGAGCCCUGACCUCAACCCCACUGAACAUCUUUGGCAUGAACUGGAACACUGACUGCGCCCCAGGCCUUUCUGCCUGACAUCAUUGCCUGACCUCACUAAUGCUCUUGUGGAGGAAUGGGCACAAAUCCCCACAGCCACGCUACAAAAUCUAAUGGAAAGCCUUCCCAGAAGAGUGGAGGUUAUUAUAACAGCAAA